AUACGGAGGGUGCAAGCGUUACUCGGAAUCACUGGGCGUAAAGAGCGUGUAGGCGGGUAUAUAAGUCAGAAGUGAAAUCCAAUAGCUCAACUAUUGAACUGCUUUUGAAACUGUAUACCUAGAAUGUGGGAGAGGUAGAUGGAAUUUCUGGUGUAGGGGUAAAAGUCCGUAGAGAUCAGAAGGAAUACCGAUUGCGAAGGCGAUCUACUGGAACAUUAUUGACGCUGAGACGCGAAAGCGUGGGGAGGC
rnacentral:rRNA from 1 species